CAUGUGGGUAUCUACCCUUUGGCCUGGAAUAACACGAGGAAACUUGUGCUAAUACCGGAUAAGUCUUUACGGAGAAAGCUUUAUGCACCAUUGGAUGAGCCCGCACUUGAUUAGUUUGUUGGUAGGGUAAUGGCCUACCAAGACUAUGAUCAAUAGCUGAUUUGAGAGGAUGAUCAGCCACAUUGGGACUGAGACACGGCCCAAACUCCUACGGGAGGCAGCAGUGGGGAAUCUUGCACAAUGGAGGAAACUCUGAUGCAGCGAUGCCGCGUGAGUGAAGAAGGCCUUUGGGUUGUAAAGCUCUUUCGUCGGGGAAGAAAAUGACUGUACCCGAAUAAGAAGGUCCGGCUAACUUCGUGCCAGCAGCCGCGGUAAUACGAAGGGACCUAGCGUAGUUCGGAAUUACUGGGCUUAAAGAGUUCGUAGGUGGUUGAAAAAGUUGGUGGUGAAAUCCCAGAGCUUAACUCUGGAACUGCCAUCAAAACUUUUCAGCUAGAGUAUGAUAGAGGAAAGCAGAAUUUCUAGUGUAGAGGUGAAAUUCGUAGAUAUU
rnacentral:rRNA from 1 species